rnacentral:hammerhead_ribozyme from 1 species
GCACUAAUGAAGAGUUUAAGACUAGGACGAAACAGCUGUCCAGUAC